AUUGAACGCUGGCGGCAUGCCUUACACAUGCAAGUCGAACGGCAGCGGACCUUCGGGUGCCGGCGAGUGGCGAACGGGUGAGUAAUGUAUCGGAACGUACCUUUCAGUGGGGGAUAACGUAGCGAAAGUUACGCUAAUACCGCAUAUUCUGUGAGCAGGAAAGCAGGGGAUCGCAAGACCUUGCGCUGAUUGAGCGGCCGAUAUCAGAUUAGCUAGUUGGUGAGGUAAAGGCUCACCAAGGCGACGAUCUGUAGCGGGUCUGAGAGGAUGAUCCGCCACACUGGAGCUGAGACACGGUCCAGACUCCUACGGGAGGCAGCAGUGGGGAAUUUUGGACAAUGGGCGCAAGCCUGAUCCAGCCAUGCCGCGUGAGUGAAGAAGGCCUUCGGGUUGUAAAGCUCUUUCGGCCGGGAAGAAAUCGCAUGGGUUAAUACCCUGUGCGGAUGACGGUACCGGCAUAAGAAGCACCGGCUAACUACGUGCCAGCCGCCGCGGUAAUAC
rnacentral:rRNA from 1 species